rnacentral:piRNA from 1 species
UGUUCAGAUGGAGUCUUUACUUC